rnacentral:rRNA from 1 species
UGGGGAAUCUUGCGCAAUGGGCGAAAGCCUGACGCAGCAACGCCGCGUGAGCGAAGAAGGCCUUCGGGUUGUAAAGCUCUGUCAGGGGGAAAGAAGGCACCUGGGUUAAUAGCCCAAGGGCUGACGGUACCCCCAAAGGAAGCCACGGCUAACUACGUGCCAGCAGCCGCGGUAAUACGUAGGUGGCAAGCGUUGUCCGGAAUCAUUGGGCGUAAAGAGCGCGUAGGUGGCUUGUCAGGUCUGAUGUGAAAUUUCGGGGCUCAACCCCGAACGUGCAUCGGAAACCGGCUUGCUAGAGUCUGGGAGAGGAGAGUGGAAUUCCUGGUGUAGCGGUGAAAUGCGUAGAUAUCAGGAGGAACACCGGUAGCGAAGGCGGCUCUCUGGAACAGUACUGACGCUGAGGCGCGAAAGCUAGGGGAGCGAACAGGAUUAGAUACCCUGGUAGUCCUAGCCGUAAACGAUGGACACUAGGUGUC